rnacentral:rRNA from 1 species
UAGCCUUGACAUUGAUUGAACACACUAGAGAUAGAGUGGUGCCCUUCGGGGAACAUGAAAACAGGUGCUGCACGGCUGUCGUCAGCUCGUGUCGUGAGAUGUUGGGUUAAGUCCCGCAACGAGCGCAACCCUCGUCCUUAGUUACUAACGGUUCGGCCGAGGACUCUAAGGAGACUGCCUUCGUAAGGAGGAGGAAGGUGAGGACGACGUCAAGUCAUCAUGGCCCUUACGGCUAGGGCAACACACGUGCUACAAUGGUUAGGACAAUGAGAAGCGAUACCGCGAGGUGGAGCAAAUCUAUAAACCUAAUCUCAGUUCGGAUAGCAGUCUGCAACUCGACUGCUUGAAGCUGGAAUCACUAGUAAUCGUAAAUCAGCUAUGUUACGGUGAAUACGUUCCCGGGUCU